UACGUAGGGUGCAAGCGUUGUCCGGAAUUAUUGGGCGUAAAGAGCUCGUAGGCGGCUUGUCGCGUCGGCUGUGAAAACCUGGGGCUCAACCCCGGGCCUGCAGCCGAUACGGGCAAGCUAGAAUUCGGUAGGGGAGACUGGGAUUCCUGGUGUAGCGGUGAAAUGCGCAGAUAUCAGGAGGAACACCGAUGGCGAAGGCAGGUCUCUGGGCCACUACUGACGCUGAGAAGCGAAAGCAUGGGGAGCGAACAGG
rnacentral:rRNA from 1 species